UACGUAGGGGGCUAGCGUUGUCCGGAAUCAUUGGGCGUAAAGCGCGUGUAGGCGGCCCGGUAAGUCCGCUGUGAAAGUCGGGGGCUCAACCCUCGAAUGCCGGUGGAUACUGUCGGGCUCGAGUACGGAAGAGGCGAGUGGAAUUCCUGGUGUAGCGGUGAAAUGCGCAGAUAUCAGGAGGAACACCGAUUGCGAAGGCAGCCCCCUGGGAUAACACUGACGCUCAUGCACGAAAGCGUGGGGAGCAAACAGG
rnacentral:rRNA from 1 species